CCUACGGGGGGCAGCAGUGAGGAAUAUUGGUCAAUGGGCGAGAGCCUGAACCAGCCAUGUCGCGUGAAGGAAGAAUGUCCUAUGGAUUGUAAACUUCUUUUAUACAGGAAUAAAGUGUACUACGUGUAGUAUUUUGUAUGUACUGUAUGAAUAAGGAUCGGCUAACUCCGUGCCAGCAGCCGCGGUAAUACGGAGGAUCCGAGCGUUAUCCGGAUUUAUUGGGUUUAAAGGGUGCGUAGGCGGGCUGAUAAGUCAGUGGUGAAAGUUUGCAGCUUAACUGUAAAAUUGCCAUUGAAACUGUUAGUCUUGAGUACAGUAGAGGUAGGCGGAAUGUGUAGUGUAGCGGUGAAAUGCAUAGAUAUUACACAGAACACCAAUUGCGUAGGCAGCUUACUGGAGUGUUACUGACGCUGAGGCACGAUAGCGUGGGGAUCAAACAGGAUUAGAUACCCCGGUAGUC
rnacentral:rRNA from 1 species